GGAUGAACGCUGGCGGCGUGCCUACUCCAUGCAAGUCGAGCGAACAGAUGAGGAGCUUGCUCCUCUGACGUUCGCGGCGGACGGGUGAGUAACACGUGGAUAACCUACCUAUAAGACUGGGAUAACUUCGGGAAACCGGAGCUAAUACCGGAUAAUAUAUUGAACCGCAUGGUUCAAUAGUGAAAGACGGUUUUGCUGUCACUUAUAGAUGGAUCCGCGCCGCAUUAGCUAGUUGGUAAGGUAACGGCUUACCAAGGCAACGAUGCGUAGCCGACCUGAGAGGGUGAUCGGCCACACUGGAACUGAGACACGGUCCAGACUCCUACGGGAGGCAGCAGUAGGGAAUCUUCCGCAAUGGGCGAAAGCCUGACGGAGCAACGCCGCGUGAGUGAUGAAGGUCUUCGGAUCGUAAAACUCUGUUAUUAGGGAAGAACAAAUGUGUAAGUAACUAUGCACGUCUUGACGGUACCUAAUCAGAAAGCCACGGCUAACUACGUG
rnacentral:rRNA from 1 species